rnacentral:lncRNA from 1 species
GACAUUCAGCCGGCGGUUCGGGGAGACGUACCUUCCACCUUAGACCAUGGCCAAGUUCAUCCGUAACUUCGCGGAGAAGGCACCGUCGAUGGUAGCCGGAAGCUGUGCUGAAUGGUUUGGUGGCCACUGAGGUGUGGAUGUGGUUUUAUAUCGGAGAGAUCAUAGGCAAACGUGGCAUUGUUGGCUAUGAUGUUUGAAGACCAAUCUUUAACUUCUGAUUUGAGUUCUUAUUUGAAUGUUCUUGGACCAUGUGUAACAGGACUGCUAUCUGAAUAAAAUACUAGGUGUUGAAAAC